UUUGAUGAAACAAGAUGAGACAAAAGGUUUACGUGUCUUAAGAAUCAGCCCAAAUCUAGCUGACAUUGGUAUAAUGAAACGCUUCAGGGAAUUAAGUUAGAAGUCACCGCCCUGGGCCAACUGUGCACCACGCUCAGUUUCCCAUUAGAUUUUCUCAGCAAAUGUGACAUUGGGACCAAGAAAAUCAUAACAAAGAGCUUGGUUUAGGCACCUGUGAAAUAAAAUAAUGUGUCUUUAUGGCAAAAUGGGAAAUGAGAAGAUGCUCUCCACCUUCAAGCUUUAGUCGACAACUGUGAACCCUGAUCUUUUCUCCCAGGAGUAAACAGACGCACUGUCCUGAGGGUGGCACAUCUGACUCCCGACGGGGCCAAGGUCAAGGGCUUUGCAGCAGGACAGCUACACGAAGGAAAUGAAGAAAGAUAUGCUUUUGCUGGUGAAAGCCUUCUGGAGAGUGUGCACAUGUGGAGGUCAGAGGACAACUUGCAGGAGUUGGUAUUCUCCUUCUGUACGAGUCCUGGGAGUCAAACUAAGGUCAUCAGGCUUCGUGGCAAGUGUCUUUAUCUGCUGAGUCAUCUCAAUUACUUCUUGUUGGCUCUGCCUGGCUCUGCCCUCU